rnacentral:lncRNA from 1 species
CUGUUUUGCUGAGUGUGAAUUCGCAUUACCAUAAGACGUGUUACGGUACUUAUCUAUCCAAAUUCAUGUAUUUAGUUUAAAUGUUUAAUGUUAUAUUUGUAAUUCUCAUCGGAUUUUGUCAAAUGUGUUGACGUCUUUUCUAUUAUAUUCAUGUGUUAUGGUAAAGAAAAUUAAUCACCGCCUUCAUUUAUUAGAUUUGAUUUUGUUCAACGUAAUCUGUACGAUGUUUUACGUUUGAAGUUAGAUUCAAAAC